CGUGGAGAGGCCAGUGGCUCUACCCGUUAGCAAGACAGUCAGGGAGGGCGUGGAAUAAAGAGCAGGGAAGUCUAGGUCCUCGCACAAGCCAGCCACCCCGCCACCCACCUACCCUCGGAGUAUUUCCUGCUGUCCUCGCCUGCGGACCCGGCUCGCCGCUAACGCGCCCUCGUCCCUGUACUCAGGCCCCGCGAAGCCACCUUCGGAGCCCGCUCCUGCGGGCCGGACCUGUUGCGGGGGCGGCUGGGGCCGGAGCGUCUUUGGUGGCGGAGGCUGGGGCUGGCCAUCUGUGCCCUGCGCCCAGAGCGCCACGCAACCCAGCCACACGAAGUAGGGCUGGAGACACAACCGCCGCCGUCUCCCCAUCGCCGGCGCCAAGAGCGCGCGGAAUGAGGCCCGCGGGGAGAGCACUGUCCGAGACCAAAUCCGCACGGCCCGGAAAAAAAAUAAAGUCAGGGUCUGACCACCCUUCGUCAGCUCGCA
rnacentral:lncRNA from 1 species